UGGUUGCCAUCUGUCCUGCAGAUGUGACAGGAACCUUCCAGUUCAACCAUGUGAUUUCACUCAUAAUCAUAGAAGAGCAAACUGAGGGUUUCUUGGACAGCAUUGCAGCCAAAGAGCUUAAAAGAUGCCGCAGGAGUUUCAAGACAGUAUAACUAGAGAGCUACAAAAAGGUAUGUUGCCAAAGUUUAUGAAUUAAAUUUAAUUCAUCGAUUUCCGAAACAAACUACAAAUAGCAAAUAACAUCCCUUGCCAUAAUUUAGUUAACAGCUUCAGAGAAAUCUCAAGAAGUCUGUGUAUCUUUUUUCCUCUGGCUCUACACUUUCUUCACUUCUGCCAUCCCUAUGGACCUGCCAGCCAGCACACUGAAACUGUUCUCAGAAAACAAAGGCAUCAUCGACUGCCCAGGUUUAUGGUGGUGAUUUAAGGCCAAGAGACAGACUCCAGGCUCAUCUACUAACACUCAGGCUACUCCAGUUCAAAGGC